rnacentral:tRNA from 1 species
GCCAUCCUAGCUCAGCUGGUAGAGCAGCUCACUCGUAAUGAGCAGGUCGUCGGUUCGACUCCGACGGAUGGCU